GCGCUGGUGGUGUAAGGCAUAGCAUCGUUUCCCGGAAAGCGGAAGGUGCGGGUUCGAGUCCCGCUUGGCGCA
rnacentral:tRNA from 1 species